rnacentral:rRNA from 1 species
GUGGAUGCCUUGGCGAUUACAGGCGAUGAAGGACGUUGUAGCCUGCGAAAAGCUGCGGGGAGCUGGCAAACAAGCUUUGAUCC